CCCUUAGACGUUCUGGGCCGCACGCGCGCUACACUGACCAGUGCAACAAGCAUCCGUCCUUGGCCGACAGGCCCGGGCAAUCUUUGAACGCUGGUCGUGAUGGGGAUAGACUUUUGCAAUUUUUGGUCUUCAACGAGGAAUUCCUAGUAAACGCAAGUCAUCAACUUGCAUUGAUUACGUCCCUGCCCUUUGUACACACCGCCCGUCGCUCCUACCGAUUGAAUGGUCCGGUGAAAAUUUCGGAUACCGGCAUUGCUGGCGGUUCGCCGCCGGCGACGCUGGUAGAAGAUCUUUAAACCUUAUCAUUUAGAGGAAGGAGAAGUCGUAACA
rnacentral:rRNA from 1 species